rnacentral:rRNA from 1 species
UACGUAGGGGGCGAGCGUUAUCCGGAAUUACUGGGUGUAAAGGGAGCGUAGACGGCGAAGUAAGCCUGAAGUGGAAGCCCGCGGCCCAACCGCGGAACUGCUUUGGGAACUGCUUAGCUGGAGUAUGGGAGGGGUAAGCGGAAUUCCUGGUGUAGCGGUGAAAUGCGUAGAUAUCAGGAGGAACACCGGUGGCGAAGGCGGCUUACUGGACCAUGACUGACGUUGAGGCUCGAAAGCGUGAGGAGCGAACAGG